CUCUUUCUUGAUUGUGUAGUUGGUGGUGCAUGGCCGUUCUUAGUUGGUGGAGUGAUUUGUCUGCUUAAUUGCGAUAACGAACGAGACCUUCAUCGUUAACUAGCCCGGCUCGCCUUGGCGGGUCGCCGGCUUCUUAGCGAGACUUUUGGCUUAAGCCAAAGGAAGUUGGAGGCAAUAACAGGUCUGUGAUGCCCUUAGAUGUUCUGGGCUGCACGCGCGCUACACUGACAGAGGCAACGAGUUUCCUUCCUUGGCCGGAAGGCCUGGGUAAUCUUGUUAAACUCUGUCGUGCUGGGGAUAGAGCAUUGCAAUUAUUGCUCUUCAACGAGGAAUGCCUAGUAAGCGCGUGUCAUCAGCAUGCGUUGAUUACGUCCCUGCCCUUUGUACACACCGCCCGUCGCUACUACCGAUUGAAUGGCUCAGUGAGGUCUCCGGACUGGUUCAGGGAGGUUGGCAACGACCACCCAGGGCCGGGAAGCUGAUCAAACUUGGUCAUUUAGAGGAAGUAAAAGUCGUAACAAGGUUU
rnacentral:rRNA from 1 species